CCUCAUCUAGCUCAGUCGGUAGAGUGCAAGUCUUUUAACCUUGAGGUUGUGGGUUCAAGCCCAUGGUGGGUG
rnacentral:tRNA from 1 species